rnacentral:rRNA from 1 species
CACGUAGGGUGCGAGCGUUGUCCGGAAUUAUUGGGCGUAAAGAGCUCGUAGGCGGUGUGUCGCGUCGGCCGUGAAAACCUGCAGCUUAACUGUGGGCUUGCGGUCGAUACGGGCAGGCUAGAGUGCAGUAGGGGAGACUGGAAUUCCUGGUGUAGCGGUGAAAAUGCGCAGAUAUCAGGGAGGAACACCGGUGGCGAAGGCGGGUCUCUGGGCUGUAACUGACGCUGAGGAGCGAAAGCGUGGGGAGCGAACAGG